AAUCAACGCUGGCGGCGUGCCUAACACAUGCAAGUCGAACGCGAGAGGGGCUUCGGCCCUGAUUGAGUGGCAAACGGGUGAGUAACGCGUGGGUGACCUACCUUCGAGUGGGGGAUAACGUUCCGAAAGGGACGCUAAUACCGCAUAACAUCCUGUCUUUGGACAGAUGGAGAUCAAAGCCGGGAUCGUAAGACCUGGCGCUUGAGGAGGGGCCCACGUCCGAUUAGCUAGUUGGUGGGAAUGGCCACCAAGGCAACGAUCGGUAGCCGGCCUGAGAGGGCGGACGGCCACACUGGGACUGAGACACGGCCCAGACUCCUACGGGAGGCAGCAGUGGGAAUUGUUCGCAAUGGGCGCAAGCCUGACGACGCAACGCCGCGUGAAGGAUGAAGGUCUCGGACUGUAAACUUCUGUU
rnacentral:rRNA from 1 species